AUAGAAAUUUUUACCCUGGCACAAUAGACAUAGUACCGUAAGGGAAAGAUGAAAGAACUGUAUCAAGCACUAAAAAGCAAAUACAAGCCCUUAUACCUUCUGCAUAAUGUAUUAACCAGAAAUAACUUUACACAGAGAACUAUAGCCAAGUUCCCCGAAACCAGCCAAGCUACCCAAGAAUAGCUCAAAGAGCACACUCACCUAUGUGGCACAAUAGUGGAAAGAUUCAUGAGUAGAAGUGAUGAGCCUACGGAGCCUGGUGAUGGCUGGUUGUCCAAGAUAGACUCUUAGUUCAACUUGAAGCUCACCCACAGAAUUACUUAAUCUACCUGUAAGUUUAACUGUUAGUCUAAAGAGGGACAGCUCUUUAGACCCUAGGAAACAACCUUCCUACAGAGAAUAAAAAAUACUACCACCACAGUUGGCCCAAAAGCAGACACCAAUUAAGAAAGUGUUUAAGCUUAACAUCUAACUAUCUUAAAUUCUAAUCACUCUACUGAAUUCUUAACAUCACAUUGGACUAAUCUAUUACUUAAUAGAAGCAAUAAUGUUAGUAUAAGUAACGUGAAGAUGUUCUCCAUUGCAUGAGCUUACAUCAGACCAGAAUAAUCCACUGACAGUUAACAGCCUAAUAUUAAUGAACAAUAUAAUAAACACCCUAUUAUUUACACUGUUAACCCAACACAGGUAUGCUGUAAGGAAAGAUUACAAAAAGUAAAAGGAACUUGGCAAAUCAUACCCCACCUGUUUACCAAAAGCACACCUCUAGCAUUACCAGUAUUUGAGGCACUGCCUGCACAGUGACAUUUGUUCAAUGGCCGCAGUAUCCUGACCGUGCAAAAGUAACUUAAUCACUUGUUCCCUAAAUAGGGACUUGUAUGAAUGGCCACAGGAGGGUUCAGCUGUCUCUUACUUUUAAUCAGUGAAAUUGACCUAUCCAUGAAGAGACAGAUAUAAACAAAUAAGAUGAGAAGACCCUACAGAGCUUUCAUUCAUUAAUGCAAAUUAAAACUCAAACAAGCCUACAGGCUAUAGCCUACUAUUCCUGCAUUAAAAAUUUUGGUUGGGGUGAUCUAGGAGCAUAAUUCAACCUCUGAGCAACCUACACUACGACCACACUAGUCUAGGUGAGUUAAUACAUAUUGACCCAAUAAUUUGAUCAACAGAGUAAGGUACCCUAGGGAUAACGGCACAAUCUAUUCUAGAGUUCAUAUUGACAAUAGAGUCUAUGACCUCGAUGUUAAAUUAGGACAUCCUAAUAGUGUAGCCACUAUUAAGGGUUCAUUUGUUCAAUGAUUAAAGUCGAUUAACAUGAUCUGAGUUCAGACCAGUAUAAUCCAGGUUGGUUUCUGUCUAUUUAACAUUUCUCCUA
rnacentral:rRNA from 1 species